rnacentral:rRNA from 1 species
AGAGUUUGAUCCUGGCUCAGGAUGAACGCUAGCGGCAGGCUUAACACAUGCAAGUCGAGGGGCAGCGGAUCUUUUCGGAGAUGCCGGCGACCGGCGCACGGGUGAGUAACACGUAUGCAACCUACCUACAAUCGGGAGAUAGCCCGGAGAAAUUCGGAUUAAUACCCCAUAGUAUUUUAUCAAGGCAUCUUGAUAAUCUUAAAACUACGGUGAUUAUAGAUGGGCAUGCGCAACAUUAGUUAGUUGGUAAGGUAACGGCUUACCAAGACGAUGAUGUUUACGGGGUCUAAAAGGAUGGUCCCGCACACCGGUACUGAGACACGGACCGGACUCCUACGGGAGGCAGCAGUGAGGAAUAUUGGUCAAUGGGCGCAAGCCUGAACCAGCCAUGCCGCGUGAAGGAUGACAGCCCUACGGGUUGUAAACUUCUUUUGUACGAGAAGAAAACGUUCUACGUGUAGAGCACUGACGGUAUCGUACGAAUAAGCAUCGGCUAACUCCGUGCCAGCAGCCGCGGUAAUACGGAGGAUGCAAGCGUUAUCCGGAUUUAUUAGGUUCAAAGGGUCCGCAGGCGGACCGGUAAGUCAGAGGUGAAAUCCCGAAGCUCAACUUCGGAACUGCCUUUGAUACUGUCGGUCUUGAGUACGGUUGAGGUAGGCGGAAUGUGCAGUGUAGCGGUGAAAUGCUUAGAUAUUGCACAGAACACCGAUUGCGAAGGCAGCUUACUAAACCGUUACCGACGCUGAUGGACGAAAGCGCGGGGAGCGAACAGGAUUAGAUACCCUGGUAGUCCGCGCCGUAAACGAUGAUUACUCGUUGUGCACGAUACACAGUGCGUGACUGAGCGAAAGCAUUAAGUAAUCCACCUGGGGAGUACGUUCGCAAGAAUGAAACACAAAGGAAUUGACGGGGGCCCGCACAAGCGGAGGAACAUGUGGUUUAAUUCGAUGAUACGCGAGGAACCUUACCCGGGCUUAAAUGCAGGAUGACCGUUGCCGAAAGGCGAUUUCCCUUCGGGGCAAUUUGCAAGGUGCUGCAUGGCUGUCGUCAGCUCGUGCCGUGAGGUGUCGGGUUAAGUCCCAUAACGAGCGCAACCCCUAUCGUUAGUUGCCAGCGGAUAAUGCCGGGGACUCUAAUGAGACUGCCACCGUAAGGUGAGAGGAAGGUGGGGAUGACGUCAAGUCAGCACGGCCCUUAUGUCCGGGGCUACACACGUGUUACAAUGGCAAGUACAAAGAGCAGCGAGAGGGUGACCUUAAGCAAAUCUCGUAAAACUUGUCUUAGUUCGGAUCGAGGUCUGCAACUCGACUUCGUGAAGUUGGAUUCGCUAGUAAUCGUAUAUCAGCAACGAUACGGUGAAUACGUUCCCGGGCCUUGUACACACCGCCCGUCAAGCCAUGGAAGCUGGGGGUGCCUGAAGUCUGUAACCGGAAGGAGCGGCCUAGGGUAAAACCGGUAACUGGGGCUAAGUCGUAACAAGGUA